GACACUUCCAAGGGGAAGGGGUCCACCGGGCCUGACAGACAGGGGCUCAGACCAAAUCACGAGAAUGGUGCUCUGAAAGACAAUGAGAGAGCUUUCUUCAGAAUGUCCAAGCUUCCACCUCACCUUCCUCCAUUCCAUCCCUGGAAGCCCCAGUCCACCUUGGAUGCUGUAGUAUCUGCAAUGUGGCGCAGUCUCUGCCCUGGUCAAAGGAUGCUACCAAACCAUGAUCUGGGACCAAUCUUCACCAAGCUGUCACAGGACCUGGAGUCUGCAACCAUGCCCCUCUACACCAACUACUUUGAUCCAGUCACUGACCACCUGCCCAACAGUUUCCCAUUGGGACACAAGCUGAACUUCAACCUGAGGCUGAACUGCUUUGACUCAUGGGCAGACCCAGAGAGAGAAAGAGGGAGGGAGAGAAGCCACCAUGUCCCCUCUUACGGAGGACCCCGCAUCAGUGGUGCCUGCCUGUCUAGACUGACAAGGAACGGAAUGCCAAGCGAGAGUAGAGGGUCUAUGACCAACAGUCAGUUUAUCUAUCAAAUGUAUGGCUACCACUGCAGGUGACCCUGGGCAUGUUAGGUUGUGUGUCUUGUCACAUCAUUAGACUUUAAACCAAUAUAUUUCUGUCCGUGUGAAAAAUAAAGAGACUACGCAUACUUUUUA